rnacentral:rRNA from 1 species
AUUGAACGCUGGCGGCAGGCCUAACCCAUGCAAGUCGAACGAGUGGCGGACGGGUGAGUAAUGUCUGGGAAACUGCCUGAUGGAGGGGGAUAACUACUGGAAACGGUAGCUAAUACCGCAUACCAUCGGAUGUGCCCAUAUGGGAUUAGCUAGUAGGUGGGGUAACGGCUCACCUAGGCGACGAUCCCUAGCUGGUCUGUGAGGAUGACCAGCGAAACUGGAACGUGGACACGGCCCAGACUACUACGGGAGGCAGCAGUGGGGAAUAUUGCACAAAGGGCGCAAGCCGGAUGCAGCCAGGCCGAGUGUAUGAAGAAGGCCUUAGGGUUGUAAAGUACUUUCAGCGGGGAGGCGUUACCCGCAGAAGAAGCACCGGCUAACUCCGUGCCAGCAGCCGCGGUAAUUC